GUAGGUAACCUGCCCAUGUGCCCGGGAUAACUUCUGGAAACGGAUGCUAAAACCGGAUAGGUAGCAGACAAGCAUUUGACUGCUAUUAAAGUGGCCAAGGCCAUGAACAUGGAUGGACCUGCGGUGCAUUAGCUAGUUGGUGAGGUAACGGCCCACCAAGGCGACGAUGCAUAGCCGGCCUGAGAGGGCGGACGGCCACAUUGGGACUGAGACACGGCCCAGACUCCUACGGGAGGCAGCAUG
rnacentral:rRNA from 1 species